AUUGAACGCUGGCGGCAGGCCUAACACAUGCAAGUCGAGCGCGGUUUUCGGACCUAGCGGCGGACGGGUGAGUAAUGCGUAGGAAGCUACCCGAUAGAGGGGGAUACCAGUUGGAAACGACUGUUAAUACCGCAUAAUGUCUACGGACCAAAGUGUGGGACCUUCGGGCCACAUGCUAUCGGAUGCGCCUACGUGGGAUUAGCUAGUUGGUGAGGUAAUGGCUCACCAAGGCGACGAUCCCUAGCUGGUUUGAGAGGAUGAUCAGCCACACUGGAACUGAGACACGGUCCAGACUCCUACGGGAGGCAGCAGUGGGAAAUAGUGGACAAUGGGCGCAAGCCUGAUCCAGCCAUGCCGCGUGUGUGAAGAAGGCCUUCGGGUUGUAAAGCACUUUCAGUAGGGAGGAAGCGUUGUGUGUUAAUAGUACACAGCGUUGACGUUACCUACAGAAGAAGCACCGGCUAACUCUGUGCCAGCCGCCGCGGUAAGAC
rnacentral:rRNA from 1 species